GUUAAACUAUUGUUCAAAAGUUAAAAAAGUCUUUAAAUUCUUUUUUGGUCUUAAGAAGCCUUUCAACUAUUUAAAAUGACAUACUUAACUCCAAAGUUAACAACGCACGCCGUCCAAUGGAAUUAGGGAUUGCACCAAAAAUGCACAGUCAAAUACUAGCACUUCAUGGUUCAUUGCAUACCAGGUUGGAAUAAAGCCUUCUCUAAACCAUUCAAGCACCCAACUGGUUAAUAUCUGACUCAAUGCCAGGCCGGCUAAGUGGGAAAAUCAAAGUUCAAAUAUCUCUCUCCAUUAUUGUCAAGGUAUUGGAUCAUCAUCCCAAGAGAAGGAAGUGGACUGUUGUGGUAGAAAGUUGGAACGUAUAGUUAGUAGUCAACUUGUCUUUU
rnacentral:misc_RNA from 1 species